rnacentral:pre_miRNA from 1 species
UCAAUUACCGUAAACAUUGAGAUCGGCGGCACAAUGAUUAACAAAAUCAUUGUGCCGAUCUCAAUGUUUAAGGUAAUUGAAAUGAUUUUA